rnacentral:rRNA from 1 species
UACGUAGGCAGCGAGCGUUGUUCGGAGUUACUGGGCGUAAAGGGUGUGUAGGCGGUUGUUUAAGUUUGGUGUGAAAUCUCCCGGCUCAACUGGGAGGGUGCGCCGAAUACUGAAUGACUAGAGUGCGGGAGAGGAAAGUGGAAUUCCUGGUGUAGCGGUGAAAUGCGUAGAUAUCAGGAGGAACACCGGUGGUGUAGACGGCUUUCUGGACCGUAACUGACGCUGAGGUGCGAAAGCGUGGGGAGCAAACAGG